UACGUAGGGUGCAAGCGUUGUCCGGAAUUAUUGGGCGUAAAGAGCUCGUAGGCGGUUUGUCGCGUCUGCUGUGAAAAUCCAGGGCUUAACCCUGAGCUUGCAGUGGGUACGGGCAGACUAGAGUGCGGUAGGGGAGACUGGAAUUCCUGGUGUAGCGGUGAAAUGCGCAGAUAUCAGGAGGAACACCGGUGGCGAAGGCGGGUCUCUGGGCCGUAACUGACGCUGAGGAGCGAAAGCAUGGGGAGCGAACAGG
rnacentral:rRNA from 1 species